rnacentral:lncRNA from 1 species
AAAUAUAUUUACCAUACUAUGAUUACUGGUAACCUUUAGGCUUAUUGAAUUACUUGUAAUAUGAUAUCUGUAAUGCCAGGUAUUAUCAUUUAAAAUAAAAUCUCAAGAACCUGAUAUAAGAAAAAUGACAACUGUAAUUACCAUAUAAUAUUUUUUUCCAGAAGUGCAGAGACUCUUUCCUGUAUUUCAUUAGGAUAAAGUUAUCUGAAAUCGUGCCUUUUAUCUGGGGUAUGGAGAAAAGAGAUGGAGUUUCACCAUGUUUCCCAGUCUUUUCUUAAAUUCUUGAGCCCAAGACAUCCUCCUCCUUGGCCUCCCAAAGUGCUAGGAUUACAGAUGUGUGCCACUCUGCCCAGACUCUAUUAGGAAUUUAGACUUUGAGAAAUUAAAUGGCUUAUACUUAUGUCAUACAACCAGUAAUUCCAGGUGCACCAUUCUGUUGUCCUACACCUUUGGAGUGGUUUUGCUUAGAAAGGAUGAAACAAUUCAGCUGUCAUUUUAAUAUAAAAGACUUUUUAGGACACAGGGUGUUUUGAGGUGAUGCCUUGACUUGCAUUAUAAAAAUACUGACAGCUAUCAAAAUGUCAACUUGCAUCUCCUUUGUUGCAGACUUGAUACCAAAGUGUUGGAUAUUUACUUACCAAGAAUGAAAUGGGCUAUAUAUUCUCAGUGCCCCCAAAAAGAAUAUGUGAAUAAAAAUGAAAAAGUGCAAGAGUGAAAUUAUAGGAUUUGUCUGUGCUCUGCUGUCUUAACGGGAGGCAGGAGCAUGGUCCUUAUCUGCUCUCUCAUAUCAAGGGGAUAAAAGAAUCUUGGCUUAUAACUUAAAUUUUAGUGGUUUUAUAUCAGUCGUUGUACUUUUUAGAGUUUCACUUUCUUUAUUAGAACUGAGGUGGACCUCAGGGAUCUGCCAAAGUUCUUUUGGUGUUGUUGUUACUUUGUUUUUGAAAAUCAUAGAAUAAUUCUCUAAUGACAUAUAGCAAUCUUUUGGCAUGGCUUGACCUGUCCAGAUUUUUCCGGCACCCAUCCUAGAAUUUUCAGGUUUUUUUCACAUCUCCUCUUAAUGACACUUUUCUUAGAGAAAGUUUUCCCACAGCCCGCCAAGCUCAGUAAAGUUUCAUUAUUACAUGCUGUCAUAGAAUAGCAUUCUUUACCUGCAUUGCACGUUUAUCAACUUUUCAUUAUGCAUUUAUUUUAGGGUUACUUAAUCAGUACCAGCUUCUCUUAUUUGACUCUAGACGUCACAACAUCUGGAAACUUAUCUUUCUGCUCAUUUUUGUAAUAGUGCCCUGUAUUAUUAGACUAAAUUUAGUUUCUCAGUAAUGUUUAUUAAAUGACAAGAUGAAUAAAUAAUGUUUCUUUUUUUAACUUCUCUGAGCC